rnacentral:rRNA from 1 species
AUGGCUACCAUGGGAUGGGCGGCACUCUACCACACAACUCCGCGCAGGUCAGAUCCGAGAUGCCUCGACCUUCUCUCCAUCGUCCCCGCCAUGGAUCCAAUGAGUCCAUCAUCACCACCACCCCUCGUCCCUCCUUUGCGAUAUCAACACCGGGACGUCCAGCAGGGCGACAAGGGUGCCCGGGUCAAUGCCCUCCUGCCCUCCUCUGACAUGUGCAGUGCACACCUUGCCAUGCUGCAAAGUCAUCCACUCGUUGCACCCAUCAUCCAUUGUGUAGCCGGAGUUUGGCGCAGCCCACAUCUCCAGCGGGGGCAGCUCGUGGCCCGCCUGGUUCGCUUCAUCGGCGUCCGCUAUUCACUUCUUUUUGGAAAAACAAAAAAAGCUCUUUAA